rnacentral:tRNA from 1 species
GGAGGGAUGGCCGAGUGGUUGAAGGCGGCGGUCUUGAAAACCGCUAGGCGCGCAAGCGUCUCGGGGGUUCGAAUCCCUCUCCCUCCGCCA